rnacentral:lncRNA from 1 species
CCACUCAUGGCUUUAGGACCUUGCUUCUGGACAUGGAGAAAGAUCAUCAACUUUAACUAUUCUUAUAACUUUAGAUAACAACAAGGAAGUUAUUUCUCCCAAAGAUGGAGCUGUCAUUCCUGCAGCUCAGCCUACUUCCACUCAGGUAAACGCAACAGAAUUCGAACAAGAACAGAAAUCUGUCUGAUAAGGCUCCCAUUGCCUUACCUCCAUUUCCCCCAGCAUCUCCCUUCCCAUGGGGUUUUCAAAGCAAUACCCUCUCUGUACUUGUGUAUACAGCUGGCUCACAGCACACGGAUGCCUGCACUGGGAUGUAAGCACGGCUGGAAGGUGCCUUAUCCCAAUGGCUUUUCUCGGUUAAGCCCCUGAGCGGAGCGGCAGGCAAUCAGUCCUCUCCCUGAACAAUGGCGGAAUCCUGGAGCCUGUUGUUUG